CUUCAGUUCCUCAUUCAACAGACUCACGUGUAAGAUUCUAACUAUACUCAUUGAGUACUGAAAUGAACAUGAACACAUUUUAUAAUAUUUUGAGAGUAUUCCUCCUCUCUUAUUGUACCACAGAUCAAAGCGAACCCUCAAAACUCCCUUCAAAUAGUCAUGUUGAAGAUUUGAUCCGAAGCGACACGUACUUGCGAACUUAUGAAAUAAACCAUAUUUGGGCUAUUCAUCAGUUCCGAUUCCACGAGACACUUGAGGCUAAUAGGAUUUACUCGCCCAUUUUACAAGCACCCGCAACCGAUAGAUAUAAAUGGCAAAUUUUCAUAAACCCGAAUGGCCUAGAUAAUAACAACGAUACGAUUUCUGUGAAGGUAUGUCAAUACCCUGACGGUGCAGGUAAAGAGACGACUUUAGAGGGUAAUAUUUCAAUCAUAA